rnacentral:sRNA from 1 species
AAAAAUGAUAAUUUUAGGAAAAAUUACAACAUAUACCAUAUUUUUUCAAAUCCUUAUGCAAUCUGCCAUAAUUUGCUGGGCCUUACAACUCAUGCCACAUUUCAUACUGAAAUGUCGAUUUUGUCCCUUUCCAUAUCCUUCUCUAUUUUAUCUCUCCUUCCUCGAAAUCUGUGCGCUUUAACCAUACAUUAUUAUCUUCCCGAAGACGAAACGCUUUUGUCUCUCUCUCACUUUUCCUGACAACCUGCACAUAUUCUUUACAUGUAACUUUCAAUUAAAUUUGUCUCCCAAUUUUAUUCAUCAUAAUAUUUCUGUUGUAUCUAGAUCUUGUCCCGAUCCAAUUCUAUUACUCAUUCGAUAUUAUUAAAAUAUGUUAAAUUGUAGGUGAAGACAAUAACGCUCAACUAAUCUGUGGACCAAAAUAGAUGGCGAAAAUCUAAAUAAAAUUCAAAAUUCUUAAAUAAGAACAAUUGCAUAUAAGAUGUAGGAUUCAUAAUAAUAGAGCAAGAUGAUGAAAUCGAGGACAAAACGUAGAUGCAACAGACAAUUUCUAUUCAGAGACAAGAUCUGGAGACUAAAACAAAAGUCUUGCUCCAAUUGUUCUCCGUUAACAGGUAAUCAUGUCCCCUAAUGCAUUAUAUAUUACAUUGUCCCCCGCUAUCAGGUAAUCAUGUCUCCUAAUGUAUUAUAUAUUACGUUGCCCCCCCUAGAAUUUUGGAUAACCAAUAUGUUUAAACAAGUCAUUUUUAAAUACCCAAUAACAACAGUAGAAGCCAGCUGUUCUCCACUAUUCUUUCCCCUAAUCCUUUAUGCUUCCACCAUGAUUUUUCGUCCUGUAUCAUCACAUCAGCCAAAAGCUGAUAUGUCGCCAUCUUCGUCAGAGCGCUGUCCCACUUUAAGGGUAAUUUCGUCCAUUAUGAUUAUUUUUUUACUCUUGACCCUGUGCAGAGCACAUGAUUAAACUAGUGAACUAAUAAAUUGUUUUGGUUUGGAAUUUAAUC